CUUGUACACACCGCCCGUCACACCAUGGGAGCGGGAUGUAUCAGAAGUAGGUAGGCUAACCGCAAGGGGGCCGCUUACCACGGUGCGUUUCGUGACUGGGGUG
rnacentral:rRNA from 1 species